ACCUGGGUGGCUUGGUUAGUUAAGCGUCUGACUUCAGCUCAGGUCAUGAUUUCACGGUGUGUGGGUUCGAGCCCCACAUCUGGCU
rnacentral:tRNA from 1 species